rnacentral:rRNA from 1 species
ACGGAAGGCAGCAGUGGGGAAUAUUGGGCAAUGGGCGCAAGCCUGACCCAGCGACGCCGCGUGAGGGAAGAAGGUCUUCGGAUUGUAAACCUCCUUCAGCAGGGAAGACCAAGAGACGGUACCCGCAGAAGAGGUCACGGCUAACUACGUGCCAGCAGCCGCGGUAAUACGUAGGUGGCGAGCGUUAUCCGGAAUUACUGGGUGUAAAGGGUGUGUAGGCGGAGAGGCAAGUCAGGCGUGAAAUACUCGGGCUCAACCCGGGAACUGCGCUUGAAACUGUUUCCCUUGAGAGUGGGAGAGGUAAACGGAAUUCCUGGUGUAGUAGUGAAAUGCGUAGAUAUCAGGAGGAACACCGGUGGCGAAGGCGGUUUACUGGACCACAACUGACGCUGAGACACGAAAGCGUGGGGAGCAAACAGGAUUAGAUACCCUGGUA